rnacentral:rRNA from 1 species
ACGAACGCUGGCGGCGUGCUUAACACAUGCAAGUCGAACGAAGCACUUUGAAGGAAUUCUUCGGAAGGAAUUCAACUUGACUUAGUGGCGGACGGGUGAGUAACGCGUGAGCAACCUGCCUACAAGAGGGGGACAACAGUUGGAAACGACUGCUAAUACCGCAUAAGACCACGCUAUCGCAUGGUAGAGAGGUCAAAGAUUUAUCGCUUGUAGAUGGGCUCGCGUCUGAUUAGCUAGUUGGUGAGGUAAUGGCUCACCAAGGCGACGAUCAGUAGCCGACCUGAGAGGGUGAUCGGCCACACUGGAACUGAGACACGGUCCAGACUCCUACGGGAGGCAGCAGUGGGGAAUAUUGGGCAAUGGGGGCAACCCUGACCCAGCAACGCCGCGUGAGGGAAGAAGGUUUUCGGAUUGUAAACCUCUGUCCUUGGGGACGAAGAAGUGACGGUACCCAAGGAGGAAGCUCCGGCUAACUACGUGCCAGCAGCCGCGGUAAUACGUAGGGAGCGAGCGUUGUCCGGAAUUACUGGGCGUAAAGGGUGCGUAGGCGGUUUGGUAAGUCAGAUGUGAAAUACCCGGGCUUAACCCGGGGGCUGCAUCUGAUACUGUCAGACUUGAGUGCAGGAGAGGAAAGCGGAAUUCCUAGUGUAGCGGUGAAAUGCGUAGAUAUUAGGAGGAACACCAGUGGCGAAAGCGGCUUUCUGGACGACAACUGACGCUGAGGCGCGAAAGCCAGGGGAGCAAACGGGAUUAGAUACCCCGGUAGUCCUGGCCGUAAACGAUGGAUACUAGGUGUAGGAGGUAUCGACUCCUUCUGUGCCGGAGUUAACGCAAUAAGUAUCCCGCCUGGGGAGUACGGCCGCAAGGCUGAAACUCAAAGGAAUUGACGGGGGCCCGCACAAGCGGUGGAGCAUGUGGUUUAAUUCGAAGCAACGCGAAGAACCUUACCAAGGCUUGACAUCCUCUGACCGCCAUAGAGAUAUGGCUUCCCUUCGGGGCAGAGAGACAGGUGGUGCAUGGUUGUCGUCAGCUCGUGUCGUGAGAUGUUGGGUUAAGUCCCGCAACGAGCGCAACCCUUAUCAUUAGUUGCCAGCGAGUAACGUCGGGAACUCUAAUGAGACUGCCGGGGACAACUCGGAGGAAGGUGGGGACGACGUCAAAUCAUCAUGCCCCUUAUGUCUUGGGCUACACACGUGCUACAAUGGCCGGUACAAAGAGCUGCGAAACCGUAAGGUCAAGCGAAUCUCAAAAAGCCGGUCCCAGUUCGGAUUGUGGGCUGCAACCCGCCCACAUGAAGUCGGAGUUGCUAGUAAUCGCGAAUCAGCAUGUCGCGGUGAAUGCGUUCCCGGGCCUUGUACACACCGCCCGUCACACCAUGGAAGUUGGGGGUACCCGAAGCCGGUGGCCUAACCGCAAGGAGGGAGCCGUCGAAGGUAAAACCAAUGACUGGGGUG